GACGAACGCUGGCGGCGUGCUUAACACAUGCAAGUCGAGCGGUAAGGCCCUUUCGGGGGUACACGAGCGGCGAACGGGUGAGUAACACGUGGGUGACCUGCCCUCAGCUCUGGGAUAAGGCCUGGGAAACUGGGUCUAAUACUGGAUAUGACUCCACGGUGCAUGUCGUAGGGGUGGAAAGCCUUGUGCGGCUGAGGAUGGGCCCGCGGCCUAUCAGCUUGUUGGUGGGGUGANGGCCUACCAAGGCGACGACGGGUAGCCGGCCUGAGAGGGCGACCGGCACACUGGGACUGAGACACGGCCCAGACUCCUACGGGAGGCAGCAGUGGGGAAUCUUGCGCAAUGGGCGAAAGCCUGACGCAGCGACGCCGCGUGAGGGAUGACGGCCU
rnacentral:rRNA from 1 species